ensembl:lncRNA
CAAAGUUCUUCCAUAAGCACCAUCCCCUCCAGGACCCUACAGUAACAUCUACAAGCUGUCAGUCAUAUCACUUACUCUUAAGGCUUGCUAUGGUCCUUGUAAAAGAUUUCAAAGAUCCCUCCUAGUCCUAACAUCCUGGGUUUGCCAGUUCCGUGGAACAGGCUGCUGUGCUCUUCUUAUCCUGUCUAGUCCACAGCCAUAACUAUUUAUUUUUACGCGUUAACUGUUUGUUUUCUGUUUCAUCUGCCAAGAGUUUUGUGAGAAAGUGUGGGGCAUACUGCCAAUCUUUAGGAGAGAAACCUCUUCAAAGUCCCAGAUGCUGGACAACAUGCAUUCCUAGGAAUCACUCUGACGUGUGGCAGACGCUUAAACCUCUGAGCCACCAGGGGAGGAGAGGGACACAAUUCAGUCCAUAACAGGGAUACUAGGGGCUUGAAUGAAGAUGGUUUCCUUGGGCAUGGAGAAGAAAGACACCUGGAGCCAUCAUGAAAGCAGAACUAACAACUCUCAGCGAAAGCCUGGAUAUUUUGGCGAGGGAGAAGAUGCCCAUGGAGACUGUAUUUCCUGAAAGAAGUGAAGAAUCAUGUCAUUCUCAAGGUCCAAGGGUAAGGUGAACAAGGCUGACCCACAUUUCUGAUUCACGGCACAACCAAGGAAGCCUCUUUCCUUAAGCAGGAGUGGAGGAUCAGCUGAGACUGG